GAUGAACGCUGGCGGCGUGCUUAACACAUGCAAGUCGAACGAUGAAAGCGGGAGCUUGCUCCUGCUGGAUUAGUGGCGAACGGGUGAGUAACACGUGAGCAAUCUGCCCCGAACUCUGGGAUAAGCGUUGGAAACGACGUCUAAUACCGGAUACGACGCGCGAAGGCAUCUUCUGCGCGUGGAAAGAACUUCGGUUCGGGAUGAGCUCGCGGCCUAUCAGCUAGUUGGUGAGGUAACGGCCCACCAAGGCGACGACGGGUAGCCGGCCUGGGAGGGUAACUGGCCACACUGGGACUGAGACACGGCCCAGACUCCUACGGGAGGCAGCAGUGGGGAAUAUUGCACAAUGGGCGCAAGCCUGAUGCAGCAACGCCGCGUGAGGGACGACGGCCUUCGGGUUGUAAACCUCUUUUAGUAGGGAAGAAGCGAAAGUGACGGUACCUGCAGAAAAAGCACCGGCUAACUACGUGCCAGCCGCCGCGGUAACAC
rnacentral:rRNA from 1 species